AUUGAACGCUGGCGGCAUGCCUUACACAUGCAAGUCGAACGGUAACGGGCCUUCGGGUGCCGACGAGUGGCGCACGGGUGAGUAAUACAUCGGAGCGUGCCCGAUCGUGGGGGAUAACGAGGCGAAAGCUUUGCUAAUACCGCAUACGAUCUACGGAUGAAAGCAGGGGACCGCAAGGCCUUGCGCGGACGGAGCGGCCGAUGGCAGAUUAGGUAGUUGGUGGGAUAAAAGCUUACCAAGCCGACGAUCUGUAGCUGGUCUGAGAGGAUGAUCAGCCACACUGGGACUGAGACACGGCCCAGACUCCUACGGGAGGCAGCAGUGGGGAAUUUUGGACAAUGGGCGCAAGCCUGAUCCAGCCAUGCCGCGUGCAGGAUGAAGGCCUUCGGGUUGUAAACUGCUUUUGUACGGAACGAAAAGCCUUCUUUUAAUACAGGAGGGUCAUGACGGUACCGUAAGAAUAAGCACCGGCUAACUACGUG
rnacentral:rRNA from 1 species